ACUCCACAUAACUGAAGGAGCGUGCUGGGUCCUGGCAGUGGUUAGUUCACAGUAAGCCUGCAAAUUAACACUUGUGUCUCAGAAUCCCAGCUGUUGACAGGAAAGCUAUAUUCUUUACUCUUGUUUGGCAAGAAAGGGUUUUCUUUGUUGCCUCUCAACACACUUUUCAGGUUUCUUUUUUUCCCCUUCCUUAACUCAGUGAUAUUGGCAUGCUGUUCCUUGGAAGUGGAAGCUCCUGGUAGGAAAACUGUAGCAUUGAAGAAAAACUCACGCAUUUUGGUUAACGCCAUCCAGAUUAUUGUUCUGGGAUGCAGAAUGCAGCAGGCCUUGGGAUACCCACCUGCAGCUGCCACCUCCACAACACUUCAUCUGUGGACUGUGCUUGUGAACAUGGAGGGCCAGAAGAAUGAUAACAUGUGCUGCUGUCCUGUUCUCCCCCUGAAACUCCUCUGAUUUUCCUGUGUGUGUUCAACAUGAUAUAUACUUCUCUCUUUUUCAAGAUGAUGACCUAUUUUUCUACCAUCACUGCAGAAUACAUUAUCAUAAACCAUAUUUUUCACGUU